AGGGUAGUUUGAGUAUGGCCAGACAAAGUAUGAAAGGGGAAAUUGUUCACAGUUUUAGAAUCGUUCAUCUAUGCCAGCGCUAUCUUUAGCUAGUGCUCCUACUCCUAGAGGUAGACAAGUGUAGUGGAGUAAUACUUUUGUGUCUAGAUUUCAGAAUAGUGUGAGUAGAAAGCCCAGUUAUUCUCCAUAUAUUCAGUGUGGUAAGAAUUAUCCUAGUGAUGCUUUUUAGGAAAAAAAGUUUGUU
rnacentral:lncRNA from 1 species